rnacentral:rRNA from 1 species
CCUACGGGAGGCAGCAGUGGGGAAUCUUGCGCAAUGGGCGAAAGCCUGACGCAGCGACGCCGCGUGAGUGAUGAAGGCCUUCGGGUUGUAAAGCUCUGUGGAGUGGGACGAAUAAGUCGGAGCGAAUAGCUCCGAUGAUGACGGUACCACUUUAGCAAGCACCGGCUAACUCUGUGCCAGCAGCCGCGGUAAGACAGAGGGUGCAAACGUUGUUCGGAAUUACUGGGCGUAAAGCGCGUGUAGGUGGCUGUGCAAGUCGGGUGUGAAAGCCCUGGGCUCAACCUAGGAAGUGCACUCGAAACUGCAUAGCUAGAGGUCUGGAGAGGGAAGCGGAAUUCUCGGUGUAGAGGUGAAAUUCGUAGAUAUCGAGAGGAACACCGGUGGCGAAGGCGGCUUCCUGGACAGCACCUGACACUGAGACGCGAAAGCGUGGGGAGCAA